CAUAAAAUAAUCAUUCUCUUCAAUACAGCAAUUCAUUUUGAAAUUGUUUAGCAUUAUUGUUAAUUUGGCAAAUAUUGUGUUCUUUAUAAAAUAGAAUGAUUUAAUGCUUGUUUGUUUAGAAAUACAUAAAUGAGGAACUUAAAAAUAAACUCAUAAUAAGAUUAUUUUACCAACUUGUACAACCCUAGUUUUUUUAAAUUAUUAUUAUUAAUUUGAGUAAUGACAGACCGAAAACAUUUUUGAUUUGACAGUACUGGUGGAGUGACGUAUUUUGAUCAACUUAACAGAUUUAAUCGAAAAACCUGAUUGGACUAGAGGUAUUUCAUUGUUCUGAUAAAGAAUGCAACUUUUAACAAUAUGUAUCACUCCGCCUCAUCAAGACGUUUGAAAUAUUGUAAGUUAAUGUAAAAGCAGACGACGUUUGUCCUGAUUAAUUUACUUCUAUAAUACCAAAACAGAACCUUGUUGAACUUGCUUUAUGUUUAAAUACACUAAUAACGCUCAAACUGAUCUGCGGUAACAAUAGUUACAAAAACAAAAGAGUGAACGUGAGAGUUAAUUUCGGGGUUGCCUAGAAACAGGUGGGUGUCAGUUACACUGUGGAACUACUUGAAUCGGCGAAGUGACAACGUAUAAAAUCCUAUAAUUGGUUUCGUCUUCUGUCACAAUAUGGCGGUUAAACUUUUAAACAAAAAGCAGGGCGAGAUGGUCAGGGUACCAUUGGACAGUUCGUUUUCCUGUGAUUACAUGCUGAAAAUCACUUCCUACUACUUAUUCCGUUGCAAAUCCCAGAGAGGCACGCGCACAGGAAUGAACCGUUGGACAGUUCCCUGUCAUUUGUUUGACCUCGCGCUCGUCACUAAUCAGUCAUGAAACACGAUAAGAAAGUGCUUUGUUUUAGAAGGAAUUAAUGACAUUUGUUUUCAGGGUUAAUCUCCCGUGGUAAUGGAGAAAAGUUUGUUGGCAGACCUCAGUGUUUCCCUCUGUUUGCCUGGUUCGAACUAUACUUCCUGUCCAGUGACGUUACUUACUUCAAGGAGAGGGAUUCUUGCCGUCUUCUCUGUUUUCAGGUGGACCUCAGCUGCUGCGUGGGACUUGGGCUCACCCCCCCACAGGACUGGUUUACCCACAAGCCCAUGAAAACUUGAGGGGCAGUAUGGCCCGUAAGGCGGCUCCAGUUCAGGUCAUCCUCUGCAGCCACAAAGAGAAAGCGUCCCUUAGCUUUUUCGAUUGGGACCAGGGUGGCCUUGUUCUGCUCUAGGAGGGGAUCAAGAGUAGCAUACUUGGUGUUACAAGCUCCUGACUCCAG